rnacentral:ncRNA from 1 species
GCCGACUCAACGGGGUGCGGAGAACCCGCCAAUUUUUGGCCAACGGUUUUCCGCUGAGAGCACACCCGUCGAACCUGAUCCGGUCAAUACCGGCGGAGGGAUUUGAGCAUGGCGCGUUA